GACGUAGGGCGCGAGCGUUGUCCGGAUUUAUUGGGCGUAAAGAGCUCGUAGGCGGCUUGUUGCGUCGGCUGUGAAAACCCGCGGCUUAACUGCGGGCUUGCAGUUGAUACGGGCAGGCUAGAGUUCGGUAGGGGAGACUGGAAUUCCUGGUGUAGCGGUGAAAUGCGCAGAUAUCAGGAGGAACACCGAUGGCGAAGGCAGGUCUCUGGGCCGAUACUGACGCUGAGGAGCGAAAGCGUGGGGAGCGAACAGG
rnacentral:rRNA from 1 species